CCAACCUUAGUGCAUCCAUGGGUAGGUUCUUAAUCAAUUAUUUCAUCAAACAACUUCUAACAAUUAGAUUUUGCCCCAAGCAUCUUUUCAAUAGGCAUGUGGUACCUUCACUGAAAAUUUUGAUUAGAUUCAACCAUUAACAUGACUACAUCAAGUGCAUCCAAUAUAUGAAUGUCCAGACCUGAGUGUGGCUUGACCAACAUGACCA
rnacentral:lncRNA from 1 species